AGAUCUCUGUUCCUAUCCUCAAGCAGGCUGCGCAGUGAAGAAUACGAACACAAAACAAGUUUUACUCGAAAAUCCCCUGUCCUCGGUGUCGUUGGUGUUUUAUAUAAUCCACCUAGUUAAUAUUGUCUUUAUCGACCAGUGAGCCUACGAAACGUCUACUCAAAAGCAUGUGGAAUGAAGACAAGCCAUCUCAAAGCUUUUUUUGGCUUCACUGAAUUUCUCAGGACAAAGAUGAAGUGGGAGAGUUAGUCUUGAAGGAGAGAUAUCCUUGAAUAACAAAUGCAAUUGGGUUAAGAUAUCAUCAAGGGCAGGGGCGGCCUGUUCAAUAGGGCGAUAUGGGCGACGCACUGCCAA